rnacentral:rRNA from 1 species
UACGGGGGGAGCAAGCGUUGUUCGGAUUUACUGGGCGUAAAGGGCGCGUAGGCGGCCAGCACAAGUCAGUUGUGAAAUCUCCGAGCUUAACUCGGAAAGGUCAACUGAUACUGUGCGGCUAGAGUGCGGAAGGGGCAACUGGAAUUCUUGGUGUAGCGGUGAAAUGCGUAGAUAUCAAGAGGAACACCUGCGGCGAAGGCGGGUUGCUGGGCCGACACUGACGCUGAUGCGCGAAGGCCAGGGGAGCAAACGGG